rnacentral:tRNA from 1 species
GCUCCCAUAGCUCAGCUGGUAGAGCACUUCACUCGUAACGAAGGGGUCGCAGGUUCAAAUCCCGUUGGGAGCU